rnacentral:rRNA from 1 species
GCUGGUCUUCAAACGGGGACAUGUGCACGCUCUGUUUACACAUCCACUCACACCUGUGCACCCUCCGUAGUUCUAUGGUCUGGGGGACCCUGUCUUCCUGCCGUGGUUCUACGUCUUUACACACACUCUGUAAUAAAGUCUUAUGGAAUGUAUGCCGCGUCUAACGCAAUACAAUACAACUUUCAGCAACGGAUCUCUUGGCUCUCGCAUCGAUGAAGAACGCAGCGAAAUGCGAUAAGUAAUGUGAAUUGCAGAAUUCAGUGAAUCAUCGAAUCUUUGAACGCACCUUGCGCCCCUUGGCUAUUCCGAGGGGCAUGCCUGUUUGAGUAUCAUGAACACCUCAACUCUCAUGGUUCGCCAUGAUGAGCUUGGACUCUGGGGGUUUUGCUGGCCUGNGGUCGGCUCCCCUCAAAUGAAUCAGCCUCCCAGUGUUUGGUGGCAUCACGGGUGUGAUAAAUAUCUACGCUCGCGGUNGUCUGCCAGGUAACCUUUGGUGACAAAGGUUNGCUGGAGCUCACAGAUGUCUCUCCUCGGCGAGGACAGCUUUUUUGAACGUUCGAUCUCAAAUCAGGUAGGACUACCCGCUGAACUUAAGCAUAUCAAUAAGNCGGAGGAAA